rnacentral:lncRNA from 1 species
AACACGAGCCUACCAAGGACAAUCGUUACGAUUAUAUGAUUAUAAUUUGGGUCUUAUUUUGUUGAGCUAAUUAUUGGCUGCAACCAGAUGUCAUGCAUUGUCUGUUUUACGAGACAUGAUCUAAAGCUAGGGGUUGUGAAGUUUUGGUAAGACUUGGAACUUAAGCUAGGGCAGAUCUUUAAGCUAGGGCAGAUCUUUGGGCACAAAGGUUAAAUCUACAUCUUCUUUGACCAGAUUCGAUCUACUUAAUGCUCAAGAUGUUAGUGGUGCAGUUGCCGCG